rnacentral:rRNA from 1 species
CGGGGUGCAGCAGGCGCGAAAACUCUACAAUGCAGGCAACUGCGAUAGGGGAACAUCGAGUGAUACUCAUAUUGGGUGUCUGUCCUUCCGUCUAAAAAACGGGAGUUAGCAAGGGCCGGGCAAGACCGGUGCCAGCCGCCGCGGUAAUACCGGCGGCUCGAGUGGUGGCCGAUAUUAUUGAGUCUAAAGGGUCCGUAGCCGGCUUGGCAAGUCUCUUGGGAAAUCCGGCGGCUUAACCGUCGGUCGUCCGGGAGAUACUACUUUGCUUGGGACUGGGAGAGGCGUGAGGUACUCAGGGGGUAGGAGUGAAAUCCUGUAAUCCUUUGGGGACCACCGGUGGCGAAGGCGUCACGCCAGAACAGGUCCGACGGUGAGGGACGAAAGCUAGGGGCACGAACCGGAUUAGAUACCCGGGUAGUCCUAGCCGUAAACGAUGCUCGCUAGGUGUCACGACAAUCGUGAAUUGUCGUGGUGCCGUAGGGAAGCCGUGAAGCGAGCCACUUGGGAAGUACGACCGCAAGGUUAAACUUAAAGGAAUUGGCGGGGGAGCACAAGGGCGAAUCGC